GUCACUUUUACUUUUAGGCCAACUCUCUGCAAGCUGUUGUCUCUUUUCUCAAUAGCUAAUUUUAAUUAUAAUAAAGAUUGUUUGAAGCCGUGUCCUAAGCGUUUUAUGGUUCCAAGAGGGUUAAGAAGCUGCGGUGCUCAUACACCUAGCAAGUGGAGGAGGCAGGGUCUGAGAAAGGUUUAAUUAGGGUUCUCCACCUGCCUGUAGACUCAUAAACUGGUUCUGCACGGAACGUGUCACAUGCCUAUUUUUUUUUUAAGUGUAAAGGAGGUCUGUUGUAACCAGGCAGGCACAGAUGCUACCAGUGUGAAUUAUAUCCUUUGGUUCUCUGUAGAGAUGAACAAGCACUUGCUUUGUCUGAUGUUCAAACUCAAGCUUCUCUAAAUAUGACCUUUAUUUUCAGUGGUGUUUUACUCUGCUUUUCAAAAUAAUUCUUUGAGUGGGAAAUUAAUUAGGGUAACAACUUCAUACCCUAGCAAAGUCUCCAGAAGAUUCCUGUGAGCUCCUAGGAGAGCUUAUACCCAUGUCCAGCUAAUGAUCUCACUCCUGUCAUGCUCUUUUUGUCUCCUACUCCAGCCUUCUGCUGGGCAGUGACUAUUGGCCAGUGCUGUCCCCUCAGGCGGGCCCUAUUGCCCUGGGUGCGGACAUCUCAUCUGCCUGCUGAAACUGCUGCUGUCAGACUGGAUCUCUUUCUAUCACCCGGGUUGGAGUGCAGUGGUACGAUCAUGGCUCACUGCAGCCUCUACCUCUCAACCUCCUGAGCUCAAGGGAUCCUCCUGCCUCAACCUCCAGAGUAGCUGAAACUACAGAUGCAUACCACCAUGCCUAGCUAAUAUUUUUAUUUUCUGUACAGACAUGGUCUCAUUAUGUUGCCCAAGGCUAGUCUAUGUUGCCCAGGCUGGCCUCCCAUCUCAGCCUUUCAAAGUGGUAGGAUUACAGGUGUGGAGCACUGCACCCAGCCUUACUCUCUGUUUCUACAAGUUCAACUUUUAAAAAUCCCACGUAUAAGUGAAACCAUCUAGUAUUCAUAUUUUUGUGUCUGGUCUAUUUUGUUUAGCAUAAUGUCUUCCAGUUUCAUUUAUAUUGUUGCAAAUGGCAGGAUUUCCUUUUUUAAAAAAAGGUGGAAUAGUGCAUUGCACAUGCACACACACACACACUACAUUUUCUUUAUCCAUUCAUCCAUUCAUAGACACUUAGGUUGAUCUCAUAUCUUGGCUGCUGUAAAUAUGGAGUGAUUUCAUUUCCUUUGGAUAUGUGCCAAGAAGUGGGAAUGCUGGAUCAUAUGGUAGUUCUAUUUUUAAUUUUUUGAAGAACCUCUAUACUGUUUUCCACAAUGACUGUACCAAUUUACAUUCCCACCAAUGGUGCACAAGGGUUCCCUUUUCUGUACAUCCUCAACAACACUAGUUAUCUUUUGGCUUUCUUACAAUAGCCAUUCUAACAGGUGUGAGAUGAUCUCUCACUGUGCUUUUGAUUAGCAUUUCCCUGAUGAUUAGUGGUGUUGAGCACCUUUUUAUAAAUCUGCUGGCUUAUAUACAUAUGUUCUUUGGA
rnacentral:lncRNA from 1 species